rnacentral:rRNA from 1 species
UCUACGGGAGGCAGCAGUAGGGAAUCUUCCGCAAUGGACGAAAGUCUGACGGAGCAACGCCGCGUGAGUGAUGAAGGUUUUCGGAUCGUAAAGCUCUGUUGUUAGGGAAGAACAAGUGCCGUUCAAAUAGGGCGGCACCUUGACGGUACCUAACCAGAAAGCCACGGCUAACUACGUGCCAGCAGCCGCGGUAAU